CAUACGCUCGUCUCAAAGAUUAAGCCAUGCAUGUGUAAGUAUAAAUAUUUGACUUUGAAACUGCGAAUGGCUCAUUAUAUCAGUUAUAGUUUAUUUGAUGAAAAGUACUACUUGGAUAACCGUAGUAAUUCUAGAGCUAAUACAUGAUAAAAUCCUCGACUUUGAAGAGGUGUAUUUAUUAGAAUGAAACCAAGAGACUUCGGUCUAUUUGUGAGUAAUAAUAACUAAUCGUAUCGCAUGCUUAGGUAGCGAUAUGUCUUUCAAGUUUCUGCCCUAUCAGCUUUGGAUGGUAGUGUAUUGGACUACCAUGGCAGUAACGGGUAACGAAGAAUUUGGGUUCGAUUUCGGAGAGGGAGCCUGAGAGAUGGCUACCACAUCCAAGGAAGGCAGCAGGCGCGUAAAUUACCCAAUCCUGACAUAGGGAGGUAGUGACAAUAAAUCACAAUGCGGAACUAUUAGUUUUGCAAUUGGAUUGAGAACAAUGUACAAAUGUUAUCGAUAAACAAUUGGAGGGCAAGUCUGGUGCC
rnacentral:rRNA from 1 species